GCCCGGUUAGCUCAGUCGGUAGAGCGCAAGGCUCUUAUCCUUGUGGUCGUGGGUUCGAGCCCCACAUUGGGCG
rnacentral:tRNA from 1 species